GAGGGACGUUUUUUAUUUUUUUUCUGGGUCCGGGCGAACCCGGUUAGAGUUCCUUAAUCACUCAAAUUGAACGCGCCCACCGGGACUUUCUUCCCUAAGUCAAACGCCGAAGGGUUAGUUACCCGGGGGGGACCCGUCCGGAAAGGUUGGGUAACUCCCGGGAAACCGGGCCUAAACCCGGUGCUUUGCUUUAACCCCUGGGUUCAAUCAUAAAAGGUGGCUUUCAGCUACCACUUACAGAUGGACCCGCGGCGCAUUAGCUAGUUGGUGAGGUAACGGCUCACCAAGGCGACGAUGCGUAGCCGACCUGAGAGGGUGAUCGGCCACACUGGGACUGAGACACGGCCCAGACUCCUACGGGAGGCAGCAGUAGGGAAUCUUCCGCAAUGGACGAAAGUCUGACGGAGCAACGCCGCGUGAGUGAUGAAGGUUUUCGGAUCGUAAAACUCUGUUGUUAGGGAAGAACAAGUACCGUUCGAAUAGGGCGGUACCUUGACGGUACCUAACCAGAAAGCCACGGCUAACUACGUGCCAGCAGCCGCGGUAAUACGUAGGUGGCAAGCGUUGUCCGGAAUUAUUGGGCGUAAAGCGCUCGCAGGCGGUUUCUUAAGUCUGAUGUGAAAGCCCCCGGCUCAACCGGGGAGGGUCAUUGGAAACUGGGGAACUUGAGUGCAGAAGAGGAGAGUGGAAUUCCACGUGUAGCGGUGAAAUGCGUAGAGAUGUGGAGGAACACCAAUGGCGAAGGCGACUCUCUGGUCUGUAACUGACGCUAGGCGGGAAAGCGUGGGGAGCGAACAGGAUUAGAUACCCUGGUAGUCCACGCCGUAAACGAUGAGUGCUAAGUGUUAGAGGGUUUCCGCCCUUUAGUGCUGCAGCAAACGCAUUAAGCACUCCGCCUGGGGAGUACGGUCGCAAGACUGAAACUCAAAGGAAUUGACGGGGGCCCGCACAAGCGGUGGAGCAUGUGGUUUAAUUCGAAGCAACGCGAAGAACCUUACCAGGUCUUGACAUCCUCUGACAACCCUAGAGAUAGGGCUUCCCCUUCGGGGGCAGAGUGACAGGUGGUGCAUGGUUGUCGUCAGCUCGUGUCGUGAGAUGUUGGGUUAAGUCCCGCAACGAGCGCAACCCUUGAUCUUAGUUGCCAGCAUUCAGUUGGGCACUCUAAGGUGACUGCCGGUGACAAACCGGAGGAAGGUGGGGAUGACGUCAAAUCAUCAUGCCCCUUAUGACCUGGGCUACACACGUGCUACAAUGGGCAGAACAAAGGGCAGCGAAGCCGCGAGGCUAAGCCAAUCCCACAAAUCUGUUCUCAGUUCGGAUCGCAGUCUGCAACUCGACUGCGUGAAGCUGGAAUCGCUAGUAAUCGCGGAUCAGCAUGCCGCGGUGGAAUACGAUACCNGCCCUUGUACACACCGCCCGUCNCACCACGAGAGUUGUACACCCGACNUCNGUGAGGUACCUAUNNAUGCNGCCGCGANNNCGGNACAGAUGAUUGGNGNUGAGACUAANAGGUNAACGGNAANCGUAAA
rnacentral:rRNA from 2 species